AUUGAAAGAAGUUGAUGAUUUCUAUAACUUUUGGUAUGCCUUUAAAAGCUGGAGAGAGUUCCCACACGCUGAUGAAUUUGAUCUUGAGCAAGCAGAGUCUCGGGACCAUAAGAGGUGGAUGGAGAGACAGAAUGCUAAGCUUUCAGAAAAGGCUAGAAAGGAAGAAUAUGCUAGGAUUCGUACACUAGUAGAUAAUGCGUACAAACGAGACCCCAGAAUACAAAGAAGAAAGGAAGAAGAGAAAGCUGAAAAGCAGAGGAAGAAGGAAGCAAAACUUUUGGCAAAGAAGUUACAGGAAGAGGAAGCAAUUAGGCUUGCUGAAGAAGAGAAACGUAGAAAGGAGGAGGAGGAGAAACGAGCUGCAGAACUGGCUCAACAGCAGAAAAAGGUGAAAGAGAAGGAGAAGAAACUCCUACGCAAAGAACGGACUCGCCUUAGAACACUUUCUGGCCCUGCCAUAUCUCAGUCUUUGCUUGAUCUUUCUAUGGAAGACGUGGAAAAUCUCUGUUCAUCUCUUGACAUUGAGCAGCUGAGAAAUAUUUGUGAUAAAAU
rnacentral:misc_RNA from 1 species